rnacentral:lncRNA from 1 species
GGAGCAUUAAAAGAGUUCUGGAGUCCUGGAUCAGGGUGCGGGAUUUUCUGGGUGAGUCCCCAAGAUGGAAGGGAGGGUGGCCGCUGAGGGGAUGGCUGCUCGUCAGAUGCCGGCCUAGCCCAAGUAGCCGGGGGCCUGCAGCCGAGGACCAUGCAUCUGGACCACUUUGUUUUGCGUGCCUCAGGUUUCUCUUUGAUGCUCCCUGCAGAGAAGCUCACGCGGAGGCCGAGGCCAAGGCGCACGCAGCCCCCAUCUGGACACCUAUGCGACCUACGCCGAUGUUUGAAGAGUCGUAGAGUGUGA